GAUGCCUAACCUGCAAGUCGAAGCCCUUGAAGCAUUUGAGGGAGUGGCGGACGGGUGAGUAACACGUGGGUACCUACCCCAAGGUGAGGAAUACCGGCGAGAAAUCGCCGACAAUACCGCAUAGGUUUCGAAGGAAACAAAGCCCGGCAACGGGCGCCAUGGGAAGGGCCUGCGUCCGAUUAGCUGGUUGGUGAGGUAAAAGCUCACCAAGGCGACGAUCGGUAGCUGGUCUGAGAGGAUGAUCAGCCACACUGGGAUUGAGAACGGCCCAGACUCCUACGGGGGGCAGCAGUGAGGAAUUUUCGUCAAUGGGGGCAACCCUGAACGAGCAACGCCGCGUGCAGGAAGAAGGUUUUCGGAUCGUAAACUGCUUUUCUCUGGGACGAGAACGGACGGUACCAGAGGAAGAAGCCCCGGCUAACUACGUGCCAGCAGCCGCGGUAAUACGUAGGGGGCAAGCGUUGUCCGGAUUUAUUGGGCGUAAAGCGCACGCAGGCGGUCUGCCAAGUUCGGAGUGACAGUUUCCGGCUUAACCGGAAAAGGUCUUCGAAAACUGGUAGACUUGAGACCUUGAGGGGGAGACGGAAUUCCGGGUGGAGCGGUGAAAUGCGUAGAGAUCCGGAGGAACACCGAAAGCGAAGGCAGUCUCCUGGCAAGGUUCUGACGCUCANGUGCGAAAGCUAGGGGAGCGAACAGGAUUAGAUACCCUGGUAGUCCACGCUGUAAACGAUGUCCACUACCCCGUGGGUUUAUGAAGAUUAUAAGUGGCCCAACAAACGCAAUAAUUUGAACGCCUGGGGAGUACGGCCCCAAAAUAAAAACUCAAGGGAAUUAACGGGGGCCCCACAAACCGGGGGACAGGGGGUUAAAUUCAAAGCGACCGG
rnacentral:rRNA from 1 species